CACCCACUUCAGAGCGCCCGAGAGACCUGGCUCGUUGACGGCGCGGCAACCGGACCCCAUCGCGUCACGGUGCCAAGGCCAGCCCCCCUGAGAUUCGCGGCUUAACGAUGAGCG
rnacentral:ncRNA from 2 species